rnacentral:sRNA from 1 species
UUCAAUAAAUAUUUCACGUCUUGCGCUC